GGUUGUGUAGUGUAGUGGUUAUCACUCUGGAUUCUGAUACCGGCCCUCAUUGUCGUUCUUAAGUUCCAGCAACCCCGGUUCGACUCCGGGCACGACCU